GGCAAGAUGGCCGAGUGGUUAAGGCGGUAGCCUGCUAAGCUAUUGGGUUCUGCCCGCGUGAGUUCGAGUCUCACUCUUGUCG
rnacentral:tRNA from 1 species